rnacentral:rRNA from 1 species
CAAAACUUUUAACAACGGAUCUCUUGGCUCCAGCAUCGAUGAAGAACGCAGCGAAACGCGAUAUGUAAUGUGAAUUGCAGAAUUCAGUGAAUCAUCGAAUCUUUGAACGCACAUGGCGCCUUCCAGUAUCCUGGGAGGCAUGCCUGUCCGAGCGUCGUUU